GGGCCCAUGGUCUAGUGGCAGGACAUAACCUUCACAGGGUUAGGGCAGGGGUUCAAUUCCUCUUGGGCCCA
rnacentral:tRNA from 1 species